GACGAACGCUGGCGGCGUGCUUAACACAUGCAAGUCGAACGGGAUUUAGUAAACGGAAGCCUCGGUGGAAGAUUACUAAUGAGAGUGGCGAACGGGUGAGUAACGCGUGAGCAACCUGCCUAUGACAGUGGGAUAGCCUCGGGAAACCGGGAUUAAUACCGCAUAAAAUCGUAGAAACACAUGUUUCAACGGUCAAAGAUUUAUCGGUCAUAGAUGGGCUCGCGUCUGAUUAGCUAGUUGGUGAGAUAACAGCCCACCAAGGCGACGAUCAGUAGCCGGUCUGAUAGGAGGAACGGCCACAAUGGAACUGCGACACGGUCCAAACUCGUACGGAAGGCAGCAGUGGGGAAUAUUGCACAAUGGAGGAAACCGUGAUGCAGCGACGCCGCGUGAACGAAGAAGGUAUUCGUAUCGUAAAGUUCUGUCCUAUGGGAAGAUAAUGACAGUACCAGAGAAGAAAGCACCGGCUAAAUACGUG
rnacentral:rRNA from 1 species